rnacentral:misc_RNA from 1 species
AAGUCGUAACAAGGUAACCGUAGGUGAACCUGCGGUUGGAUCAUUAAAAAACUUCGGCAAGAACGUGGAGCUUGUAUUUAUUCCAUCCACGUAAUACGAAAUUUCUAGUCUAAAGUCUUCUUCAUAUCACGAGAAUAUGAUAAAAACAACUUUUGGCAACGGAUCUCUUGGCUCUC